UUCCGGUUGAUCCUGCCGGACCUGACUGCUAUCGGAUUGAUACUAAGCCAUGCGAGUCAUUGUAGCAAUACAAGGCAGACGGCUCAGUAACGCGUAGUCAACCUAACCUAUGGAUGGGAAUAACCUCGGGAAACUGAGAAUAAUGCCCAAUAGAACACUAUGCCUGGAAUGGUUUGUGUUCCAAAUGAUUUAUCGCCGUAGGAUGGGACUGCGGCCUAUCAGUUUGUUGGUGAGGUAAUGGCCCACCAAGACUAUUACAGGUACGGGCUUUGAGAGGAGUAGCCCGGAGAUGGGUACUGAGACACGGACCCAGGCCCUAUGGGGCGCAGCAGGCGAGAAAACUUUGCAAUGUGCGAAAGCACGACAAGGUUAAUCCGAGUGAUUUGUGCUAAGCGAAUCUUUUGUUAGUCCUAGAAACACUAACGAAUAAGGGGUGGGCAAGUUCUGGUGUCAGCCGCCGCGGUAAAACCAGCACCUCAAGUGGUCAGGAUGAUUAUUGGGCCUAAAGCAUCCGUAGCCGGCUCUGUAAGUUUUCGGUUAAAUCUGUAUGCUCAACAUACAGGCUGCCGGGAAUACUGCAGAGCUAGGGAGUGGGAGAGGUAGACGGUACUCGGUAGGAAGGGGUAAAAUCCUUUGAUCUAUUGAUGACCACCUGUGGCGAAGGCGGUCUACCAGAACACGUCCGACGGUGAGGGAUGAAAGCUGGGGGAGCAAACCGGAUUAGAUACCCGGGUAGUCCCAGCUGUAAACUAUGCAAACUCAGUGAUGCAUUGGCUUGUGGCCAAUGCAGUGCUGCAGGGAAGCCGUUAAGUUU
rnacentral:rRNA from 1 species